CUACUUGGCUUCACCGUGCUGCCAAUGAAAUGCAGAACUGGUCGGGUGUCGAGGACUGAGGUUCUGAUGCUAGAAGCUAGAAGGAACCAUGCAGUUCGGCAGCGUGGUCCCAUCAAAGCAGAGCCAUUCAUCAUCCGAGGGCUCAGUGAAGAACUUCUCUUCCUCCGGGACGCUGUAGACCACUCUGGCACUGCUGCCGUAAGACGGGUCGUCAGCGUCGGACGCAGUGAUCUUCAGAACGGACGUUCCUGUUGAUGACAUGUUAGGAUAAUCAGUUUCAACUGAAAAAAUGGACAAGGGGGUCCGGUCCGAUCCGGUGGCCAUGUACUGCUUGCCUGUGUAUCGGCUGGGGACAGGACAUCUCUGCGCUGCUGAUCCGCCUCCGCUUGGGAUGGUUUCCUGCUGGCUCCGCUGUGAACGGGACUCUCGCUGUUGUGUUGAAUCCGCUUUGGACUGGACUUUCGCGACUGUGUUGGAUCCAUUGUGGAUUGAACUUUCACAGUAUCAUGUUAGACCCGCUCGACAUCCAUUGCUUUCCUCCUCUCCAAGGUUCUCAUAGUCAUCAUUGUCACCGACGUCCCACUGGGUCAUUAUUGUCACCGAUGUCCCACUGGGUGUGAGUUUUCCUUGCCCUUAUGUGGGCAUAACGAGGAUGUCGUGGUGGUUUGUGCAGCCCUUUGAGACACUAGUGAUUUAGGGCUAUAUAAGUAAACAUUGAUUGAUUGAUUGAACGUUAAGUAAGGCUUCACCUUUCCAAAAUUCAUUAGCUUGAUACUUAUCUGGUUUGACUUUUCCAUGUACCCGCUACUAAUGAGUGUUGGCGAUUUUAAAAGGCGAUUUCAUUACUUACAAAUGUAGUAAUAAAAACUACAGGUACUAUUUCCUUGUUAGGCGACACUUUGCCAUACAUCUUGGAAUUGCAUGCAAAGUCUACUACAUAACUCUUGCAAAGAUUGAGGUGGCGAAUUGUCCAGGAUAAACCCCGCCUUCCACCCGAUUUUAGCUGAAAAAAUGGAUGGAUGGAGACUCAGAACUAUAAGAGGAAAACAAGAUACAACAACUGGACAGCACAGUUAUCAUAAUUAGCUCAUAUACACAGUUGUGAUCAAAAGUUUACAUACACUUGUAAAGAACAUAAUGUCAUGGCUGUCUUGAGUUUCCAAUAAUUUCUACAACUCUUAUUUUUUUGUGAUAAGAGUGAUCGGAGCACAUACUUGUUGGUCACAAAAAUCAUUCAUGAAGUUUGGUUCUUUUAGGAUUUUAUUAUGGGUCCGCUGAAAAUGUGACCAAAUCUGCUGGGUUAAAAGUAUACAUACAGCAAUGUUAAUAUUUGGUUACAUGCCUUUUGGCAAGUUUCACUGUAAUUGAGCACUUUUUAGUAGCCAUCCACAAGCCACCUUUUCUCUUCCAAACAUAUUGCUAGGUAUGCUCAAUUUUUGUUUUAUUCGACAUCACAUGGUCAAAGAUAAGACCUUCUGGAGGAAAUUUCUGUGGUCAGCUGAAACUAAAAUUGAGCUGUUUUGUUACAAUACUCAGCAAUAUGUUUGGAGGAGAAAAGGUGUGGCUUUUAAUCCCAGGAACACCAUGCCUACCGUCAAACAUGGUGGUGCUAGCAUUAUGUUUUGCUGGCAAAAAAACUGGUGCUUUGCAGAGAGUAAAUGGCACAAUGAAAAAGGAGGGUUACCUCCAAAUUCUUCAGGACAACCGAAAAUCCUCAGCCCGGAGGUUGGGUCUUGGGCGCAGUUGGUUGUUCCAACAGACAAACACACAUCAAAAGGAAUGGCUAAAUCAGGCUAGAAUUAAGGUUUUAAAAUGGCCUUCCCAAAGUCCUGACUUAAACAUGUGGACAAUGCUGAAGAAACAAGUCCAUGUCAGAAAACAAAACACAUUUAGUUGAACUGCACCAAUUUUGUCCAGAGGAGAUGUAAAAAAAAAACUCCACCAGAAGCUUGUGGAUGGCUACCAAAAGCGCCUUAUUGCAGUGAAACUUGCCAAUGGACAUGUAAGCAAAUAUAAACAUUGCUGUAUGUAUACUUUUGACCCAGCAGAUUUGCUCACAUUUUCAGUUUCAUAAUACAAACCCCGUUUCCAUAUGAGUUGGGGAAAUUGUAAUAGAUGUAAAUAUAAACAAAAUACAAUGAUUUGCAAAUCAUUUUCAACCCAUAUUCAAUUGAAUGCACUACAAAGACAAGAUAUUUGAUGUUAAAACUCAUAAAUGUAAUUUUUUUUGGGCAAAUAAUGAUUAUCUUAGAAUUUCAUGGUUGCAACACAUGCCAAAGUAGUUGGGAAAGGGCAUGUUCACCACUGUGUUACAUCACCUUUUCUUUUAACAACACUCAAUAAACGUUUUGAAACUGAGGAAAUUAAUUGUUGAAGCUUUAAAGGAGGAAUUCUUUCCCAUUCUUGUUUUAUGUAGAGCUUCAGUCGUUCAACAGUCCGGGGUCUCCGUUGUCGUAUUUUACGUUUCAUAAUGCGCCACACAUUUUCGAUGGGAGACAGGUCUGGACUGCAGGCGGGCCGGGAAAGUACCCGCACUCUUUUUUUUUUACGAAGCCACGCUCUUGUAACAUGUGCUGAAUGUGGCUUGGCAUUGUCUUGCUGAAAUAAGCAGGGGCGUCCAUGAAAAAGAAGGCGCUUAGAUGGCAGCAUAAACCUGUAUGUUAAUUCAUAAAAGAACAAAAGUUCAUGAAGGUUUUUU